GCGGAUAUAGAUAAAUUGGUAAAUCAUCUGCCUUCCAAGCAGGAGACAUGGGUUCAAACCCCAUUAUCCGCU
rnacentral:tRNA from 1 species